rnacentral:tRNA from 1 species
GGCCCGGUAGCUCAGCUGGUAGAGCAAUUCCCUUUUAAGGAAGAGGUCCUGGGUCCGAAUCCCAGCCGGGUCACAA